rnacentral:lncRNA from 1 species
GAACCGGGAGUCGUGACGCGGUUUUAAGCCACCAGGAGGCUCACUAUCCAACAGUGGAUAAACGGUCCCAUCCCAAAAUGCAGGAGGCUGGAGGUUGGAUCUUACCGGCCCAGGACAGGCGUGGACACGGCGGGUGGGAGCGAGCAGCCACCAGGAGCCACGCAGAGGCAUAGCCAGUGAGCCCUGACGGCGCACGGCAGCAGGUGCAAAUGUCUAGAGCCCCACAGGUGUCCCCCUGUGCCCGGUCCUGCUCCUGUCCAGAAGUGGCGUCCAGCUGCCCCCUCGGUGGGUGGCACUGAAGCAGCAGCGACCUGGCAGGACUCCCCAGGCCCUGGAAGGCACGGCUGGCUCUCAGGACUGUCACCGUGGUCACCAGCAACUAGUGAGCAAGGAGACCCAGGCCACUGCCGGUGAGGUGUCUGCUGACAGCUGAAGCCC